rnacentral:rRNA from 1 species
UUUCAUUGGUAUUAAUAGUUAUGACCUUUAAAUUAAAAGAAUUUGACGGUAAUUUAUCAUUCCAGAGGAGCCUGUCCUUUAAUCGAUAUUCCACGUUAAAUUUUACCCUAAUUUUUAGCUUAUAUACCUCUGUUAAAGAGUGUUUUAUUAGAAAUUAUUCUCUUUUAUUUUUUAAAAAUUUAUAUCAGGUCAAGGUUUAGUUAUAUUGGGGUUGAGAUGGGCUACAUUUAUUUUAUUAUUGGAUCUUUUUAUUUAUUUAAAAAGUGAAAUUGGAUUUGGUUGUAACUUAUAUUAUAUUUUAUUAGUGAUAUUUGUUCUAGAUUAAG